rnacentral:rRNA from 1 species
GAUGAACGCUGGCGGCGUGCCUAAUACAUGCAAGUCGAGCGAACAGAUGAGGAGCUUGCUCCUCUGACGUUAGCGGCGGACGGGUGAGUAACACGUGGAUAACCGACCUAUAAGACUGGGGUAACUUCGGGAGACCGGAGCUAAUACCGGAUAUUAUAUUGAACGGCAUGGUUCAAUAGUGAAAGACGGUUUUGCUGUCCCUUAUAGAUGGAUCCGCGCCGCAUUAGCUAGUUGGUACGGUAACGGCUUACCAAGGCAACGAUGCGUAGCCGACCUGAGAGGGUGAUCGGCCACACUGGAACUGAGACACGGUCCAGACUCCUACGGGAGGCAGCAGUAGGGAAUCUUCCGCAAUGGGCGAAAGCCUGACGGAGCAACGCCGCGUGAGUGAUGAAGGUCUUCGGAUCGUAAAACUCUGUUAUUAGGGAAGAACAAAUGUGUAAGUAACUAUGCACGUCUUGACGGUACCUAAUCAGAAAGCCACGGCUAACUACGUG